rnacentral:rRNA from 1 species
GACGAACGCUGGCGGCGUGCCUAAUACAUGCGAGUUGAGCGCUGAAGGUUGGUACUUGUACCAACUGGAUGAGCAGCGAACGGGUGAGUAACGCGUGGGGAAUCUGCCUUUGAGCGGGGGACAACAUUUGGAAACGAAUGCUAAUACCGCAUAAAAACUUUAAACACAAGUUUUAAGUUUGAAAGAUGCAAUUGCAUCACUCAAAGAUGAUCCCGCGUUGUAUUAGCUAGUUGGUGAGGUAAAGGCUCACCAAGGCGAUGAUACAUAGCCGACCUGAGAGGGUGAUCGGCCACAUUGGGACUGAGACACGGCCCAAACUCCUACGGGGGGCAGCAGUAGGGAAUCUUCGGCAAUGGACGAAAGUCUGACCGAGCAACGCCGCGUGAGUGAAGAAGGUUUUCGGAUCGUAAAACUCUGUUGGUAGAGAAGAACGUUGGUGAGAGUGGAAAGCUCAUCAAGUGACGGUAACUACCCAGAAAGGGACGGCUAACUACGUG